UUAUAUUAAUAAAAAUUAGAAAAUUUUGGAUUUUAGUCUUUAGUGACACUUUAUAUUUUAAGUGACUCACAUUACAAGAGACUAAUACUGAAUAUUUAGAGUCUAAUUGUGCAUGUCGCUAAAAAUCACUCUUGACUCUUUAGUGACAUGCACUUUUCUGCGUGUUACUAUAUAGUGUCACUAAAAAGGCAAAUUGUAGUAGUGUCUCUUCCCCGUCGAGCAGCCAUGGCCAGGCCUGACGUUUGCCGUUCUCAAUCGUCCAAGCUCAAAAAUCUCAAAUAGCCAGUUGCAUCCCAAAAUCCCAAAACCACCCCAAACCCUGACUAGCCCAUCUCGCUCUGCCUCCUCUCCCGACGAGACACAAGAACAGCUCCGGCUCCGUCUGCAUCUUUCCAUAAACUCGGGUUGGGCAUCUUGAACGUAUUUUUCAGAUAAUGGAUUCACAGUAAUGAAAUUUCCCUUAAGACCUUUCAUAAGUUCUUAUAUGAUCAUGGAGAAAUUUCUAAUAAUGUAAAUGAUAGCCCAGUUGAAAAUUAUGUAAAUGUUUCUAUUAAAUAUUUGUUGAUAUAUUGUGUUAAUUCUCAAAUCUAAUAAUGUAAGUAGAGAAAUUAACAAAUAAUAGAGCUGUCAGUUUAAAUUACAACUCUCAAAAUAAAUUAUAUGAAAAAAUCCAAGCGAGGACCAAACCAGUUGUAAUUGAUUUGACUACUGUAUUUUUAUAUAUAUGAACUUAAUUUUUCUUUA